GGCAAGAGCUCAGAUUUGAAAUCGUGUUUCGGCACGAGUUGUAGAGUGUAGGCGGGAGUCUCUGUGGAGCGCGGUGUCCAAGUCCCUUGGAACAGGGUGCCUGAGAGGGUGAGAGCCCCGUGGGGUGCUGCGCGAAGCUUUGAGGCCCUGCUGACGAGUCGAGUUGUUUGGGAAUGCAGCUCUAAGCGGGUGGUAAAUUCCAUCUAAGGCUAAAUACUGGCGAGAGACCGAUAGCGAACAAGUACUGUGAAGGAAAGAUGAAAAGCACUUUGAAAAGAGAGUGAAACAGCACGUGAAAUUGUUGAAAGGGAAGGGUAUUGGGCCCGACAUGGGGAGUGCGCACCGCUGUCUCUUGUAGGCGGCGCUCUGGGCGCUCUCUGGGCCAGCAUCGGUUCUUGCUGCGAGAGAAGUGGCGCCGGAAAGUGGCUCUUCGGAGUGUUAUAGCCGGUGCCGGAUGUCGCGUGCGGGGACCGAGGGCUGCGACAUCUGUCUCGGAUGCUGGCACAACGGCGCAAUACCGCCCGUCUUGA
rnacentral:rRNA from 1 species